rnacentral:rRNA from 1 species
AUUGAACGCUGGCGGCAGGCCUAACACAUGCAAGUCGAGCGGAUGAAGGGAGCUCGCUCCUGGAUUCAGCGGCGGACGGGUGAGUAAUGCCUAGGAAUCUGCCUGGUAGUGGGGGAUAACGUCCGGAAACGGGCGCUAAUACCGCAUACGUCCUGAGGGAGAAAGUGGGGGAUCCUCGGACCUCACGCUAUCAGAUGAGCCUAGGUCGGAUUAGCUAGUUGGUGGGGUAAAGGCCUACCAAGGCGACGAUCCGUAACUGGUCUGAGAGGAUGAUCAGUCACACUGGAACUGAGACACGGUCCAGACUCCUACGGGAGGCAGCAGUGGGGAAUAUUGGACAAUGGGCGAAAGCCUGAUCCAGCCAUGCCGCGUGUGUGAAGAAGGUCUUCGGAUUGUAAAGCACUUUAAGUUGGGAGGAAGGGCAGUAAGUUAAUACCUUGCUGUUUUGACGUUACCAACAGAAUAAGCACCGGCUAACUUCGUG